AUGCAGUCAAUACAGGGUACUACCCUAGUGUGGACAUUUUUGUUUUUCUGAAUCUGAACAUGUUUUUCAUCAAAUAAUUCAUUCACAUACAAGGAAAGCUAUGAAAAAUAUCAUAUCAUCUAGGCCAUGUGUAAUCUUCAGGUUUAUUGCAGCAGCUUAAGAGAAGAAUGUGAAAAAAUGCAGGGCACAUACCAACAUGUGUCGUAUUUUUCUGAGUGUUAAACACAGGCAGUAGAUUCAUUAUGACUAACUGUUUGGUGCCAAAGUUAGUUGGAACUCAACUCACAUACAUACAGAUAACUGUGGCCUUUCAGCCACAGGCAGGAAAAUGAUUCUUUUCUUCAGAAAAUUGGAAAGCUGCCUGGAGUAGUCUGGUGUUUAUGUUCAUUUAAUUCAUUUCGUGCCAGCUUGUGAAAGCCGAAAGCGAAAGGCAUGACGUCGAAUUAAAUUGAGCUGCUGCGUGCUUACUGCUGUCUCGAAGCAAGCAAUCCAGCCGUUCUGUCAUUUGGAACAGGAAUCUAAUGGUUGUCAACAGGUGGCUGUGAAUAAGUGGCUGAAAUGAUGUCCACCAGAUGGCGCCAGUGUCUUCAGGGAUGCUUAUCGGCCAUUUUGUUCUAAGAGUCUAAGACGCAGUAGAAAUUGGCUGUUGGUUGUGACGUUUCUCAUGAUGAAAAUUAAAAGGUGAUUUAGCACGUAGAAACCAAUUUGCCAAAUCAUUCAACUCAGACUUGGAAGUGUCUGUACAUAUCCGAAAUGGCGUGCCUCGUGUGUUUCGCUGUGUGUUCUUAGGCGUACGUCUCAUCCCAUGCAACAGCAAAAAGUAUAACAAAUACUUCUUUAACGCUGGUGGUUACCUUGUUGCAGCCAAAUGGUGUAAGGUGUGACGAAGACAGAUUGAACUGUUGUAUGCAGCAUGCGGUUGCAGUGUAAUCCAGAAGUUGCUGUGCUGUUGUAGCUGAGCUGUUCCAUCUGGGUUCCUGACUUGAAAAUUUUUGUGUUGUUGUUUUCAUCCAUGCCAUGAGAUUGCUCUGUGUUAACUGUGCUGACUUAAAAGUUUGAUCUGUUGUCUUUUGAGUUUUCAUUCAAUCAUGCAGUAUACGACUGAGGCAACCUGAUCAAUAUCAGGUUUGACACAGUCGAGAACUGCUAGAUUAAACAAGCUUUCUGCGCCAAACAAAUAAUAACUUGCAUAUAACUUGCAUCAUGUUAUCAUCGCGGUAGAGAAAGCGACAGGCCCCCCCCCCCUGGGGGCCACAGGAAAAAUAAAUGUAUGUAAAUAUUAUAAAAUAAAUUUU